UACGUAGGGUGCAAGCGUUGUCCGGAAUUAUUGGGCGUAAAGAGCUCGUAGGCGGUCUGUCGCGUCGGCUGUGAAAACCCGGGGCUCAACCCCGGGUCUGCAGUCGAUACGGGCAGACUAGAGUGCGGUAGGGGAGACUGGAAUUCCUGGUGUAGCGGUGAAAUGCGCAGAUAUCAGGAGGAACACCGGUGGCGAAGGCGGGUCUCUGGGCCGUAACUGACGCUGAGGAGCGAAAGCGUGGGGAGCGAACAGG
rnacentral:rRNA from 1 species